AGCCCUAAGCGGGUGGUAAACUCCAUCUAAGGCUAAAUAUGACCACGAGACCGAUAGCGAACAAGUACCGUGAGGGAAAGUUGAAAAGCACUUUGAAGAGAGAGUUCAAGAGUACGUGAAACCGUUUAGGGGUAAACCUGAGAAACCCGAAAGGUCGAAGGAAGAAAUUCAUCGCGUUUCGUGGCAGGCGUCCGACGAUCGUGUGACGGUGAAGCGUUCGCGUUUUACCGCAGCUUUCGUCAGUCGAACCGGCUACGAACUCGUGCACUUUUCUUCUGGUAGGACGUCGUGAUCCGUUGAGUGUCGGUCUAAGGCUCGCGGUGGAGCCCGUUUGUCGUUUCUACGGCGAACGGACCCGCGUAGUUUCCCGACCGACUCGCUCGACGGUAUACGAAAGGUUUAAGGCCGCUCUCGGAGCGUUCGACUCUCGACAAGCGCGUCAACGUGGUUGGCGAUCGGACCUAGUGCCGAUUCCGACACCUGACGACUGUUGGUCGUGAAGUUCUCGAACCGCGCCUUCGGACCGAUCUGCGACGCUAUAGCUUUGGGUAAUUUCAG
rnacentral:rRNA from 2 species